AGAGGGUGCAAACGUUGCUCGGAGUUACUGGGCGUAAAGCGCGUGUAGGCGGUGCCGCACGUCCGGUGUGAAAGCCCAGGGCUCAACCCUGGAAGUGCACUGGAUACGACGGCGCUGGAGUCCUGAAGAGGAGGGCGGAAUUCCCGGUGUAGAGGUGAAAUUCGUAGAUAUCGGGAGGAACACCAGUGGCGAAGGCGGCUCUCUGGACAGGUACUGACGCUGAGGCGCGAAAGCGUGGGGAGCAAACAGGAUUAGAUACCCUGGUAGUCCACGCUGUAAACGAUGGGCACUCGGUGCUGCGGGUAUCGACCCCUGCGGUGCCUGAGCUAACGCGUUAAGUGCCCCGCCUGGGGAGUACGGUCGCAAGGCUG
rnacentral:rRNA from 1 species